rnacentral:tRNA from 1 species
UCCCUUGUGGCUCAGUUGGUAAAGAAUCUGCCUGCAAGGCAGGAGACCCAGGUUUGAUUCCUGGGUUGGGAA